CACAGGUGCUGCAUGGCUGUCGUCAGCUCGUGUCGUGAGUAUGUUCGGUUAAGUCCGCUAACGAGCCGCAACCCUCGCUGUGUGUUAUAUGUGUCACACGGGACUGCCGGUCUUAAGCCGGAGGAAGGUGGGAUGAUGUCAAGUCAGCAUGGCCUUUAUAUCCUGGGCUACACACACGCUACAAUGGCCAACACAAUAGGUUGCUAAGCCGCGAGGUGGCGCCAAUCCAUAAAGUUGGUCUCAGUUCAGAUUGUAGGCUGCAACCCGCCUGCAUGAAGAUGGAGUUGCUAGUAACCGCAGGUCAGCUAUACUGCGGUGAAUACCGGUUCCCGGGGCUU
rnacentral:rRNA from 1 species